ensembl:lncRNA
CCCAAAUAUUUAAUGUCAUGUGAUUAUAUUAAAUUCAGGAUAUUUUGAGCGAAAUUCCUUAAACUGAUUUAAUGAAUGCAGUCUUUCAGAAGUCUUUGCUAGUAUGUAGUAAGAUGAAUUAAAGACAAUGCCACAUUAUUUAUAGAUUGCUGUGAUGUAGAGUGAAAAAUGAAAGAAAACCGAAAGAAGCAAGAGCAUAAAUGUAGGUAUUCAUUCUUGGAAUAACCUGAGCUUUCCAUGAAGUGUUUUACAAGAGUGCAGAAAACAAAACACAUACAUAUAUUUUAUACAUUAAUAUAAAUCUGACUUAUAAAUACAGACCAGAUUAACUUUUGAGAAUACAAAGGCUUUCCUAAAUGUCUGAAAUUAACGCAGUAUUUCAACAGUCCAAGAUUAUUUUUCUCCAUUUUUGUGGGUUUUAUUUUUAACCACAUACCUGAGAUGACUGAACCUCGAUAAUCUGUGGCCAAAUAUUUAAUAAAUAUAAAUCAUGUUGCUGUGUAUAGAUAAUCAGUGUUUAUUCUCUCUUUUUUUCCUCUAGGCCCAGGUGAAGGAAUUACCUCUGCUGAUGAAUAGUCUUUUCCAAAGAAAAUAGAAUACUAUUUCUCUUGGAUCAAAUACAAAUUAGGCCAACUUGUAUACAGUGUUUAUCUGUCGCAAAUGACUUCUGUUUACAAGCUAAGAGGGCCACAAGAACAUCUGGCUCCUAUCAUCUAGAGUGCAAGGGCUAUUCUGGUCCACACUGAAUAGUUUCAGUGCAAGGACAGUAAUGAGGAAGACAGCAGUAACUCUGCUCCAUGAGCUGUCCGGACAGCAGAGAAAGGAUCAUCAGUGAAAUUAUUUCUGAAGAAAACCAGUUAGUAACCUAAUGUCAAAAAUGCUAUUUCACUGUUAGAUCUUGAUUUGUGUGCACACAUAUUGUGUGCAGAGAUAGCAUUUCAAAUGUCUUUAAAGUUUUAAGAUCUUCAUCAGGCCCACUUCUCCACACCAGUCUAACCUUCCAUUCAGCUGUUCUGUUUCCAGUUUGAAGUUGUUCAAGUCAUGAGGCAGAUCUGGAAGUAAAAUAGGUUCCCACUGGACAUUUUCUGGGGAAGUGAGGUAGGAGAUUCAGUUUGGUAUUUCUCAUCUUGAAGACCAAAGGGCCUGGCCAGAUGAGGCAAAGAAUUGAAAAGUAAAGAGAGAAGGAUGACCAUUCAUGCUCCUGGAACCAUUCCAGAGAAAUAGAACCUAAGAUAUAUUUAGUAACCUUGCUGUUGAAAUAAAAUCUUGUGUAACUCCACCUUAGCAGCAAUAUUUAGCAUUUAUGUAAUCAUAUAAAGUAAAAAAUUACCUACUUUUUAAUUAUAAAGAAAUGUAUUCAGUAACCUCUAAAAUAUAAAAAGGAAAACUUUUUAUUUCCCAGAUAGCUAAAAUCUUCAUUACACAGCAUUAUCCUUUACACUAAAAAGUAUUGCCAUUUAAAGAGGAAUUUAUCAGGUAUUAGGCAUUGGUUGUACUGGCCAAAUACCACAUAUCGAGCUAAAUAAUCACAUUCCCAGGUGAAAUUUAGCACCUUUUACUAUUUUUAGGCAGUCAGAAUACAUCACUGUGUACCCAUGCUUUGAGAGUCACCAUCAGGCCACAUUUCAACAAUCAAAGCAUGUUUGAUAAAAGAAGAAAAUCAGUAAUUUUCUAGACUUAGUGGCAAAAUUAUCUUUCAUGGAUAAAUAAAGAUAUUAAUUAUUGCUAUAAGGCUUCAUAUAAACUAUAUAGAAGAAAUCACAGUUGUUUAUAAUACUUAGAGAAUUUAAAAAGAUCACAGAAAUAAUCCUAGAAUAAACUGCCUGAAUAAAGUGUUUAAAAUUUUCUCUCUCUUGCUAAAAAUGAAAAAAAAUCCAGAAAAAGGCUGUGUAUACACAUAAAUGAAUGGUAUGUUUGAACAUGUUUCCUGCUUUCUGUUAUUCAGUUAAAAAUCUGCAUAAAUAUAUUCUUCACAGUAAGU